rnacentral:rRNA from 1 species
AAUAGAUACCCCGGUAGUCCACGCCGUAAACGAUGAGUGCUAAGUGUUAGAGGGUUUCCGCCCUUUAGUGCUGCAGCUAACGCAUUAAGCACUCCGCCUGGGGAGUACGGCCGCAAGGCUGAAACUCGAAAGGAAGUUGACGGGGGCCCGCACAAGCGGUGGAGCAUGUGGUUUAAUUCGAAGCAACGCGAAGAACCUUACCAGGUCUUGACAUCCUCUGCCGACCCUAGAGAUAGGGCGUUCCCCUUCGGGGGACAGAGUGACAGGUGGUGCAUGGUUGUCGUCAGCUCGUGUCGUGAGAUGUUGGGUUAAGUCCCGCAACGAGCGCAACCCUUGAUCUUAGUUGCCAGCAUUCAGUUGGGCACUCUAAGGUGACUGCCGGUGACAAACCGGAGGAAGGUGGGGAUGACGUCAAAUCAUCAUGCCCCUUAUGACCUGGGCUACACACGUGCUACAAUGGAUGGUACAAAGAGCAGCGAACCCGCGAGGGUAAGCCAAUCUCAUAAAGCCAUUCUCAGUUCGGAUUGUAGG